UCCCUCUCAGGGUCACACCUGGAGAGUGUCCAGGCCUCUACCAGUCUUGGCUACAGGAGGGAGAGCCAAGCAGCAGCCUACCCAUUCCAUUCCUAGCUUAAGCAGUGGCUAGCGAGUGGCAGGCACUCUGCUACAAGU